rnacentral:lncRNA from 1 species
CUACUACCAGCCAAAGAAUACUUUCUAGUGGCAUUCCAAGUAAAAAGUUGAUGACUCACUACCCUCCAAGUGUUUUCGGGCAAGAACAAAGUUACAGCAGUCGGGCUAAUUUGCCUAAAAGGAUGAAGAGGCCCCAGAGACAAGGACACUCAACCAAUCAAUCAAACAAACAAACAUACAAACUCUGCUCUCAAGCCAAAUUUGCAUUCAAAAGCUGAAAUCAACCUAGAUUCAGUCUUUUUUAGUGACAAGCUAUCUCUUGUGCAGUUUAGAGCUCUGUUAUCUCCCUUAGUGGCGUAGUAUUGAGUCCCUUGUGUAAACUUUUUUACCAUCCAUCCCAUUUUAGUAUAUAAACCCAUGUUAAUUCUAAGAAAAGUGAUUGCAAGAGGUUCAACCUUGACAGACAAGGUGAAAUCUUGACCGACGCUCUUUGUUUGUUUUCUAAAUUUGUAGAUCUAUUACUUAAUGCAUUCUCCAGUAUGUAUUCAAGUUAUUUCCAUCAACUUUCCUAUUUUAAAAGUUCCAUUUACAUCUGGAUCUGGUUAGUUUAGUGGAUAUGUUAUCAUUAAAAUCAAUUAAGAACCAAGCAAAUGACUUAAGGGGAUCUGGACUCCCUUAAUUCGAACAUACAAGACUAUGAACUAAAAGUCCUUGUUUACAAGGCAAGAAAAAGAACUUAAUGUAGACUUAACCCAUCCAUAAUAAUCCUUUGAUAACAAGAAGUCCGAGUAACUUGGGGCGCAAGUAAUAGACUUAAAACACUCUUGUUCUACAUCUACUAUACUUAGAUAGCAAUGGCACGCCUAGCACUCAGUUAGUUUUGAUUGCGAGUCUCAGGGCUGACACCUAAGGUCGUACAAAGGUACCUUUCAGAACUAACUUUGUCCUCUUCUUGUAGCACAUCAACAAGUAAAAGCCCGAUUACACAUCCAAAGUGUCAAUCCCUUGGGGAGUUGUGCUAACAUCCAAGGAUCCUUCUCCAAAGAAAUCUUCGCCCAAACACAAAGCCAUCUUGAUUUUUCACUUGGCUAUUUUCUUUUUUAUUAAUGGAAGAAUGAUGAAACUCCAUUUGGAUUUCGGGUCAAUUUAUAAUCCUAACUAAAGGCGCAACAAAAAAUAUGUAACUAAUUGCUAACUAUUUUUAAGCAUGUCCUUAAGAAGAUGUGUUGUAGUUCAACUUUCUAUUUUAUAAUUAGUAAUAUGUUUAGGCUUUUUUUAUUAGCACCCCAAACAAUAUUCAAUACACCCUGCAUUUUAAAUAACUUAUAAACCCUAAUAUGUAAUGACAAUUUUGACCUAAUUAAAUAUACAAAUUGAGCACCACCCGAAAAUGGA